rnacentral:rRNA from 1 species
AGUGAACGCUGGCGGUAGGCCUAACACAUGCAAGUCGAACGGCAGCACAGUAAGAGCUUGCUCUUACGGGUGGCGAGUGGCGGACGGGUGAGGAAUACAUCGGAAUCUACUUUUUCGUGGGGGAUAACGUAGGGAAACUUACGCUAAUACCGCAUACGGCCUACGGGUGAAAGCAGGGGAUCUUCGGACCUUGCGCGAUUGAAUGAGCCGAUGUCGGAUUAGCUAGUUGGCGGGGUAAAGGCCCACCAAGGCGACGAUCCGUAGCUGGUCUGAGAGGAUGAUCAGCCACACUGGAACUGAGACACGGUCCAGACUCCUACGGGAGGCAGCAGUGGGGAAUAUUGGACAAUGGGCGCAAGCCUGAUCCAGCCAUACCGCGGGGGUGAAGAAGGCCUUCGGGUUGUAAAGCCCUUUUGUUGGGAAAGAAAAGCAGCAGGUUAAUACCCCGCUGUUCUGACGGUACCCAAAGAAUAAGCACCGGCUAACUUCGG